GUCCUUGAAAUCGUUGCUUAUUGGAAUAGAGUCAAUUUCCCUUUCAUUAUUGAGCCCCAACUAUUGAUUCUUUCCCAUUGCUGGCAGCCAUAAGCAAUAGCACACGGCGUGGUUCCAAGGCAGCAAGAAGAAGAGCGUGAUACCCACUUCAAGUCGGUCCCAACAACACAUCCACUUCCAAACCUUGGCGCGGGGUUUGGGACCGCAAAGCCCGCGGGCCAACACUGGUGCUUUCAUUGAGAGGCUUCAACGGAGAUCGUUGGGUGAUCGGCUUCAGUCUAAAUCCACGGAAGGACGAUCUCAAGGAUAUCCCUCUAUCUAUUCAGAUCUAAACUCUUCAUUGCAUACGUUUAGAGGUCUGAAAAUCAGAUCUGAAAAUUCCUGUUAAAAUCUGUAAAAAUCUGAUUGUAAGGGGUAAGAACUUCAUGGAGUCGGGUAGUGACUCAUUCAGCCCGCAACAGCUCCUUGAAACCAUAGAAAAU
rnacentral:lncRNA from 1 species